GCCAGACUCCUACGGGAGGCAGCAGUGGGGAAUAUUGCACAAUGGGGGAAACCCUGAUGCAGCAACGCCGCGUGAGUGAAGAAGUAUUUCGGUAUGUAAAGCUCUAUCAGCAGGGAAGAAGAAAGACGGUACCUGACUAAGAAGCCCCGGCUAACUACGUGCCAGCAGCCGCGGUAAUACGUAGGGGGCAAGCGUUAUCCGGAUUUACUGGGUGUAAAGGGAGCGUAGACGGCAGUGCAAGUCCGGAGUGAAAGCCCGGGGCUCAACCCUGGGACUGCUCUGGAAACUGUAAAGCUGGAGUGCGGGAGGGGCAGGCGGAAUUCCUGGUGUAGCGGUGAAAUGCGUAGAUAUCAGGAGGAACACCGGCGGCGAAGGCGGCCUGCUGGACCGUAACUGACGUUGAGGCUCGAAAGCGUGGGGAGCAAACAGGAUUAGAUACCCCCGUAUU
rnacentral:rRNA from 1 species